CAAAAAAGAGUUCAAGAUGACUCAGAAGAUCAGAGCAAGGCUGAAUAGAUGAAUUAAGAGAUAAUGUUCUUAGGAGUAGUCAGAGGGCAAGCAAAAGAUUCAAAAGAGUUUUCAAUAAGACAUCGGCAAGUCUGAAGACUAAAUUAUGAAGUCCAACUCUGUGGAGGGCUUUGAAAACAGAGCCCUGACCAGUGCUGAAUUGACUUGAAGAAUGAUGAAGGGUUGGCUUCUCUCUCUCGGCAGCUGUGAGUUUGGUCAGCCCUUUGCAAAGUAAGAGGAAGUUUAAUGAACGCAAAUAAGACAUGAUCCUUUGUGGCUAUAAAAGUUACACUUUGAAAAAGCUCAGCUGGUCAAGAGCCACUUGAAAAUGAUGUUCCUGUGGGGGAACUCUGUCAAAAGUCCACUCCUCUUGACCCAUGUUGCCUUGCCUAAACAUAUAGCACUUGAUAUUUACUGGAAGCAACAUUGGGUGAAGUGGAUGCUCAUCCUCUCAGUGCCCUCCGUGAGCUAAUGUGGGACUGAAGCAAUUGCAGCAGCACACUGCCCCACCCAGGGUGUCUGCGUGUGCACACUUGCUGGUUAGCCUCUCUAAAACCACCCCUACUCCAAGGAAGGGGAAGAUGGAUCUCACUGAAGAGGUACAGUUGCAUCUUUGAACUGGCUGGUCAUUGCCUAGAUUGUGGCAACAACUCUUCAGGAUUGGAAGACGCACAAUUUGAAUAUUGGAACUUGAGGCCAAAAUCUAUUACUGGUAAUGUUGCUUUACAUCUUUCCUAUGAAUUAGUACAGAUUUUUCAAAAGAAACUCUAAGCAUGGCAAUGACAGUAAAGCAGAAUUUGCUGUAACUUUCCAAUUGCUGCUAGUUUCAAUAGUCAGUUCGCAACAUCCUUCUUUAUUCUUUUGGGUUGUUUUAUUCGAGCCUCUUUUUAUCUGCUUAUAAGAUAGACAUGGAUAGACACCUGGAAAUCAGUUAGCUUCAUCAUUUUGUGCAUGUAAAUGAUCACAUUAAGAUGAAUGCAAAUGUAUCUCACCAAACCUUUUCAGAAGCAUAAAUUUAAUUUUUAAAAAUUUUACAUAUAUGUG
rnacentral:lncRNA from 1 species